AUUGAACGCUGGCGGCAGGCCUAACACAUGCAAGUCGAAUGGUAACAGGAAACAGCUUGCUGUUUCGCUGACGAGUGGCGGACGGGUGAGUAAUGUCUGGGAAACUGCCUGAUGGAGGGGGAUAACUACUGGAAACGGUAGCUAAUACCGCAUAACGUCGCAAGACCAAAGAGGGGGACCUUCGGGCCUCUUGCCAUCAGAUGUGCCCAGAUGGGAUUAGCUAGUAGGUGGGGUAACGGCUCACCUAGGCGGCGAUCCCUAGCUGGUCUGAGAGGAUGACCAGCCACACUGGAACUGAGACACGGUCCAGACUCCUACGGGAGGCGGCAGUGGGGAAUAUUGCACAAUGGGCGCAAGCCUGAUGCAGCCAUGCCGCGUGUAUGAAGAAGGCCUUCGGGUUGUAAAGUACUUUCAGCGGGGAGGAAGGGAGUAAAGUUAAUACCUUUGCUCAUUGACGUUACCCGCAGAAGAAGCACCGGCUAACUCCGUG
rnacentral:rRNA from 1 species